GAGGCAGCAGUGAGGAAUAUUGGACAAUGGGCGCAAGCCUGAUCCAGCCAUGCCGCGUGCAGGAUGACGGUCCUAUGGAUUGUAAACUGCUUUUGCACAGGAAGAAACACUCUCUCGUGAGAGAGCUUGACGGUACUGUGAGAAUAAGGAUCGGCUAACUCCGUGCCAGCAGCCGCGGUAAUACGGAGGAUCCAAGCGUUAUCCGGAAUCAUUGGGUUUAAAGGGUCCGUAGGCGGUUUAGUAAGUCAGUGGUGAAAGCCCAUCGCUCAACGGUGGAACGGCCAUUGAUACUGCAAGACUUGAAUUAUUGGGAAGUAACUAGAAUAUGUAGUGUAGCGGUGAAAUGCUUAGAGAUUACAUGGAAUACCAAUUGCGAAGGCAGGUUACUACCAAUAUAUUGACGCUGAUGGACGAAAGCGUGGGGAGCAAACAGGAUUAGAUACCCUGGUAGUCCACGCCCUAAACGAUGAUGACUAGUUGUUGGAGGAGUUAAAUCCUUAAGUAACGCAGCUAACGCGCGAAGUCAUCCGCCUGGGGAGUACGGUCGCAAGAUUAAAACUCAAAGGAAUUGACGG
rnacentral:rRNA from 1 species